CCUACGGGAGGCAGCAGUGAGGAAUAUUGGUCAAUGGACGAGAGUCUGAACCAGCCAAGUAGCGUGAAGGCUGACUGCCCUAUGGGUUGUCAACUUCUUUUAUAUGGGAAUAAAAUGUUCCACGUGUGGGAUUUUGUAUGUACCAUAUGAAUAAGGAUCGGCUAACUCCGUGCCAGCAGCCGCGGUAAUACGGAGGAUCCGAGCGUUAUCCGGAUUUAUUGGGUUUAAAGGAAGCGUAGGUGGAUUGGUAAGUCAGUUGUGAAAGUUUGCGGCUAAACCGUAAAAUUGCAGUUGAAACUGGCAGUCUAGAGUACAGUAGAGGUGGGCGGAAUUCGUGGUGUAGCGGUGAAAUGCUUAGAUAUCACGAAGAACUCCGAUUGCGAAGGCAGUUCACUGGACUGCAACUGACACUGAGGCUCGAAAGUGUGGGUAUCAAACAGGAUUAGAUACCCCUGUAGUC
rnacentral:rRNA from 1 species